CCUACGGGAGGCAGCAGUAGGGAAUCUUCCACAAUGGGCGCAAGCCUGAUGGAGCAACACCGCGUGAGUGAAGAAGGGUUUCGGCUCGUAAAGCUCUGUUGUUGGAGAAGAACGUGCGUGAGAGUAACUGUUCACGCAGUGACGGUAUCCAACCAGAAAGUCACGGCUAACUACGUGCCAGCAGCCGCGGUAAUACGUAGGUGGCAAGCGUUAUCCGGAUUUAUUGGGCGUAAAGCGAGCGCAGGCGGUUGCUUAGGUCUGAUGUGAAAGCCUUCGGCUUAACCGAAGAAGUGCAUCGGAAACCGGGCAACUUGAGUGCAGAAGAGGAUAGUGGAACUCCAUGUGUAGGGGUGGAAUGCGUAGAUAUAUGGAAGAACACCAGUGGCGAAGGCGGCUGUCUGGUCUGCAACUGACGCUGAGGCUCGAAAGCAUGGGUAGCGAACAGGAUUAGAUACCCCUGUAGUC
rnacentral:rRNA from 1 species